CUAUUUUUUCUUCAUAUUCUCCACUCGGCCAUGUGUCCUGGCCCACCACCACAUGCUCCAUUACUAUGUAUUGAUCUCAGAAGCAGUGGCUUGCAUUGCUCAGGCCCAGGCAUGUGGAUGAUCAUAAAAUCCAGGCAGAGGAGGUGAAAAACAUGCGUGGAGGGACCCCUACACACACACACGCAUUUCAGAGAGAUAAGCAAGACCUUAGAUAUUUCUCAGCUGCACAGGAGAUGUGGAGAAGAUCAAGAAAAGCACUCUAAAAUCAUAACGACAGCAAAGAAAUUUCAAGAGAGGAUCAAAACUGGCUGAAAAAGAAGGCCUGUUUAAAAGAAAAGCAAACACCAUAUCCAACUGGAAAGAAAGCAUUUUAUAGUAAAGAAAGAUCCCACAAGAAAGCCACCAGUAAAAACUAUCGUAAGAGACUGAGAAGACGUGAAUUCUUGCAACUAGGAAGCUGAUUUGGUGGCAACUGGCAACAAGGGAUGAGCGGUUCUAUUGAGCACAGGCUGAUGUUGUAACCAGCCCUAGAUUGACCACACGUGGUAGAUGGAGAAGGCUCUUUCCUACAGCCCCUCUCCUUC